rnacentral:rRNA from 1 species
GCGUUGUUCGGAAUUACUGGGCGUAAAGCGCACGUAGGCGGAUCUUUAAGUCAGGGGUGAAAUCCCAAGGCUCAACCUUGGAACUGCCUUUGAUACUGGGGAUCUCGAGUCCGGAAGAGGUGAGUGGAACUGCGAGUGUAGAGGUGAAAUUCGUAGAUAUUCGCAAGAACACCAGUGGCGAAGGCGGCUCACUGGUCCGGUACUGACGCUGAGGUGCGAAAGCGUGGGGAGCAAACAGG